rnacentral:sRNA from 1 species
GCUGGGAGUGGAGACCCCACGCCUGUCAUCCCAGCACCUUGGGAGGCUGAGGCAGGAGGAUCUUGAGUUCAAAACCAGUCUCAGCAACAGCGAGGCCCUAAGCCACUAGAGAGACCCUGUCUCUU